AAAAAAGAAAUAGAAGAAUUCCAUUUUCCUUCGUCAUUCAUCGGAGAGCUCUCUUUAGGCUUUCCGAAAAGAUAUCACAUGCCAAGUUUGGCCUCACGGUCUAAAAGUUAUAGAGUCAUACAUUUUUCACAAAACAAAAAGAGAAAAACCGAAAAAAAUAGGGAUGCAACACGAGGACUUUCCUGGAGGUCACCCAUCCUAGUACUAAUCUCGCCCAAGCACCCUUAACUGCGUAGUUCUGAUGGGAUCCGAUGCAUUAGUCCUGGUAUGAUCGCAUCUGUUACUAUAUGCAAUAUAAUCGUAUCUAUUCUUUUUUAAAGACUUUAUGAUCCAUUUGCCGUGGGUCCCACCAGCUAUGUAGGAUACCCUAUCUUCAUAAUAAGAGCUUUGAUAAAUGCAAAAUAUUGGAAAACAAUGUCCGAACAUAUAAUUUCCCCCCCCCCCCCCGUAAUAUAGCAAAGAUCACGAAAAAGCCCAAAAAAGUACAUUUAGGUCAAAAUUUGAGUAGAAAAAAAAACAAAUAGAGGAAUUCCAUUUUCCGUCCUCAUUCAUCGGAGAGCUCUCUUUCGGCUUUCCGAAAAGGUAUCACAUGCCAAGUUUGGCCUCACGGUCUAAAAGUUAUAGAGUCAUACAUUUUUAACAAAACAAAAUAGAGAAAAACCGAAAAAAAGAAGGAUGCAACACGAGGACUUCCCGGGAGGUCACCCAUCCUAGUACUACUCUCGCCUAAGCACCCUUAACUGCGGAGUUCUGAUGGGAUCAGGUGCAUUAGUGCUGGUAUGAUCGCAUGUGGUACUACAUGCAAUGUAAUCGUAUCUAUUCCUUUUGAAAGACUUUAUGAUCCAUUUGCCGUGGGUCCCACCAGCUAUGUAGGAAUACCCUAUCUUCUUUAUAAGAGCUUUGAUACAUGCAAAAUAUUUGAAAACAAUGUCCGAACAUAUAAUUUUCCCCCCGUUAUAUAGCAAAGAUCACGAAAAGGCCCAAAAAAGUACAAUUAGUUCAAAAUUUGGAGUAGAAAAAAAAACAAUAGAAGAAUUCCAUUUUCCUUCCUCAGUCAUCGGAGAGCUCUCUUUGGGCUUUCCAAAAAGGUAUCACAUGCCAAGUUUGGCCUCACAGUCUAAAAGUUAUAGAGUCAUACAUUUUUAACAAAACAAAAUAGAGAAAAACCGAAAAAAAGAGGGAUGCAACACGAGGACUUUCCGGGAGGUAACCCAUCCUAGUACUACUCUCGCCCAAGCACCCUUAACUGCGGAGUUUUGAUGGGAUCCGGUGCAUUAGUGUUGGUAUGAUCGCAUGUGUUACUACAUGCAAUGUAAUCGUAUCUAUUCCUUUUGAAAGACUUUAUGAUCCAUUUGCCGUGGGUCCCACCAGCUAUGUAGGAAUACCCUAUCUUCUUUAUAAGAGCUUUGAUACAUACAAAAUAUUGGAUCACAAUGUCAU
rnacentral:sRNA from 1 species